rnacentral:rRNA from 1 species
AUUGAACGCUGGCGGCAGGCCUAACACAUGCAAGUCGAGCGAGCGGCGGACGGGUGAGUAAUGUAUGGGGACUGCCCGAUAUAGGGGGAUAACUACUGGAAACGGGGGCUAAUACCGCAUACUAUCGGAUAACCCAUAUGGGAUUAGCUUGUAGGUGGGGUAAAGGCUCACCUAGGCGACGAUCUCUAGCUGGUCUGAGAGGAUGAUAAGACACACGGGGACUUAGACACGGCCAAGACGCCUAGGGAGGAAGCAGUGGGGAAGAGUGGACAAGGGGAGCAAGCCUGAUGCAGCCAUGCCGCGUGUAUGAAGAAGGCCUUAGGGUUGUAAAGUACUUUCAGCGGGGAGGCGUUACCCGCAGAAGAAGCACCGGCUAACUCCGUGCCAGCAGCCGCGGUAAUUC